UAUUAUUAUUAUUAUGAAUAGAAACAGAUAGAAAAUAAAACAAAUUGUACAGUAACAAAAGUAGAGGGAUUCUUUAACAUUAAUUCUCUUUAAAAUGUUCCUUAUAGAACGUGACAGUUUUAUGAUAUUUGAGAGCGUCUAUAACACUUAAUACUGCUUAUUUAUUGCUCAAAUUCAGCUAGAAGUACGUGUAAAUUCAUUUUCAAUACUCUGCAUUUAUGAAUAUGGAAUUUACCAAACAAUAUUAAAAGGUUGAUAAUGUAUUCAAUCUCUUACACACACCAGUUUUGUUAGGU